AAGAGCAAGAGAGGUAGAGAGAGAGAAAAAGGAAAACAUUAAGGGUUAUUCCUACCCCUUGUGAUAUUCAAAAUAACCACAGGAAAUAACACCUUGAUAAAGAACAGUCACUCUUAAUCACGACGCAAUCCGAAGCAGCUGUGAUAACCAGAUCGCUCCAUGAACCACCCUUUGUGAAGAGAGUGAGAAACAAGAAAGAAAAAAAAGAAAGAAAACCGGCGAGACAUAUAACUUUUAACAAGAGUCUGGUAACCCUGCCACGGCGAGCCCCUAUGGCAAGAGGUCGAGGUAGGAGAAUGAUUCAGUGAGGGAAGGAAAGGCUGGCUUAUCCUCCUCCUCCUCCUCCUUCUCCUGCGCCUCUCGGAGCAACGAAAUCGUGGAGCUUUAAGGAGAGAGAAAAAAAAAAUCGUGUUGUUCCCGCGUAACCACCACGGAGAAAAAGGUGUAUAAUUACUUUGUUUUAAUGUGGUGAAGUCUCUAGGCAUAUUUCGUGAGUGUUUGGCUCUCCACGUGGUUGAUGGAAAGUGAUAAGUGAAUUAGAAAAAAGGGUAAUUAUAAACAAUAAGUGACGUAGCUGACGUAUAGAAAAAAGAGAAAAUCAGAAAUCACGAGGAAGCGAUACAACGCAAGCAUUAUCGCAAACAACGGAAAGGUGAGUAAAACCGACAUGAUUCCAGCUGAUUCUCAUGAGUUCAGUGAGUAAGGUGAGUGAGCAGUGAGUAUCGACAGUGAGUAUCGACCUUUAGGUGGAUUGAAUCACGUGGCUAAUAAGCGCAGGUAUGGAUACGUGUAGAAAAGAUUAUAAUAUGGAUGUAAACUCUUUACAAAACGGUAAAGGAGAUGACUUGAAAUUAUUACAGGGUUAAUGCAAAUGCAGAUAUUGAUAUGUGCAGGCCUAUGAUAUAUAAAAUUAAUGCGAAAUCAUAUAUAACGGUAACGGAAAAGCUUAAUUGAAUUUAUUACAUGGCUAACACAGACGCAGAUAGAAAUAAAUGCAAACAUCAUUGUCAAUAAUAAGGAAAAUACUAAACAAAAAUACAAAUACGUGUAUAAAAAAAAAUAUGUUAACUAAUUCCUUCACAAAAAAAAAAAAAAAAAAAAAAUUCUUGUAGAAUAUAAUUUAUACGACCGUUUUGUUGAAUAUUUUAGCAAGGUCGUUAAGUUGGGCAGUACAGAUUUUUUUUUUUUUUUUGUCCGUUUUCCUCUCUGUUAAAUGUCGUUUCACAAGUUUGGAAUAAUAAUAGGAUACAGAAGAAGAAAGGGGAGAAGGAAGAAGAAGAAAAGGAGGG